GGGGUGGUAGCGCAGUGGUAGCGCGUCUGCUUCGCAUGCAGAAGGUCCGGGGUUCGAUCCCCCGUCACUCCA
rfam:Monosiga brevicollis MX1 MONBRscaffold_8 genomic scaffold, whole genome shotgun sequence.